UACGGAGGGUGCGAGCGUUGUCCGGAAUCACUGGGCGUAAAGGGCGCGUAGGCGGCUGGGGAAGUCGGCGGUGAAAGCCCGGAGCUCAACUCCGGGUCGGCCGUCGAGACUCCUCGGCUCGAGCUCACUAGAGGCAGAUGGAAUUCCGGGUGUAGCGGUGGAAUGCGUAGAGAUCCGGAAGAACACCGGUGGCGAAGGCGGUCUGCUGGGGUGAGGCUGACGCUGAGGCGCGACAGCGUGGGGAGCAAACGGG
rnacentral:rRNA from 1 species